AGCCGAAGCGAAAGCGAGUCUGAAUAGGGCGUCAAGUUGGUGGUGGUAGACGCGAAACCUUAGUGAUCUACCCAUGGGCAGGGUGAAGGUUUGGUAACACAAACUGGAGGCCCGAACCGGUAAACGUUGAAAAGUUUUCGGAUGACCUGUGGGUAGGGGUGAAAGGCCAAUCAAACUGGGAAAUAGCUCGUACUCUCCGAAAUGCAUUUAGGUGCAGCCUCUGUUGUUUUGUUCUAGAGGUAGAGCUACUGAUUGGAUGCGAGGGCUUCACCGCCUAUCAAAUCCGGCCAAACUCCGAAUGCUAGAACAUGAAGACAGGGAGUGAGCCAGCGGGUGCUAAGGUCCGUUGACGAAAGAGGGAGAACUCAGACCAUCAGCUAAGGUCCCCAAUUGUAUGCUAAGUUGGAAUUAAAACGGGGUGGGACUGCUUAGACAGCUAGGAUGUUGGCUUGGAAGCAGCCAUUCAUUUAAAGAGUGCGUAACAGCUCACUAGUCGAGCGGUCCUGCAUGGAUAAUACGCGGGCAUAAGCAUAUAACCGAAGCUAUGGGAUUGUAGAUGAUACAAUCGGUAGGAGAGCAUUCCAUUCAGCAUAGAAGCAGUACCGUGAGGUAUUGUGGAGCGGAUGGAAAAGCAAAUGUAGGCAUAAGUAACGAUAAUGCGGGUGAGAACCCCGCACGCCGAAAGAUCAAGGAUUCCCCGGCAAUGUCAAUCAUCCGGGGGUAAGUCGGAUCCUAAGGGUAAGCCGAGUGGCGAUCCCGAUGGCAAACAGGUUAAUAUUCCUGUACUGAUCAUAACUGCGAUGCAGCGACGCAGAGGUGACACUGCUGCGUACUGACGGAAUAGUACGUUGAAACCCGUAUUCUUUGAUACCGGUAGUGAAGCACGCCGGUAGAGAUGAAAGGUGAUAGUACCGCAAUGCUUCGGUUGCGCGGAUAACGCAGGUAAGCUGACUGCCAAGAAAACCUGCUAAGCUUCAGGUAAUGAUCAUCCGUACUGUAAACGGACACACGUGAUCAGGUAGAAAAUACUAAGGCGCUCGAGAGAUUCAUGGUUAAGGAACUAGGCAAAAUGGUCCUGUAACUUCGGGAUAAAGGACGCUCUUGUGAAAGAGCCGCAGAUAAUAGGCCCAGGCGACUGUUUACCAAAAACACAUGGCUAUGCUAAUUCGCAAGAAGAUGUAUAUGGCCUGACACCUGCCCGGUGCCGGAAGGUUAAGAGGAGAGCUCAGAGGCAACUCGAAGGUUUGAAUUGAAGCCCCGGUAAACGGCGGCCGUAACUAUAACGGUCCUAAGGUAGCGAAAUUCCUUGUCGGGUAAGUUCCGACCUGCACGAAUGGUGUAACGAUCUGGGUACUGUCUCAACCAUGAGCUCGGUGAAAUUGUAGUUCCGGUGAAGAUGCCGGAUACCCGCAACGGGACGGAAAGACCCCGUGAACCUUUACUGCAGCUUUGCAUUGAUUUUGGGUAACAGAUGUGUAGGAUAGGUCGGAGGCUUUGAUGCUGCGUCGUCAGGCGUAGAGUAGCCGUCGUUGAAAUACGACCCUUUUGUUAUCUGAGGUCUAAUCCCGUUAGGGAGACAUUGCAUGGUGGGUAGUUUGACUGGGGUGGUCGCCUCCAAAAGUGUAACGGAGGCUUCUCAAGGUACCCUCAAGGCGUUUGGUAAUCGUCUGCAGAGUGCAAUGGCAUAAGGGUGCUUGACUGUGAGACCGACACGUCGAUCAGGUUGGAAACAAGAGCAUAGUGAUCCGGUGGUUCCGCAUGGAAGGGCCAUCGCUCAAAGGAUAAAAGGUACUCCGGGGAUAACAGGCUGAUCGCUCCCAAGAGCUCAUAUCGACGGAGCGGUUUGGCACCUCGAUGUCGGCUCGUCACAUCCUGGGGCUGGAGAAGGUCCCAAGGGUUCGGCUGUUCGCCGAUUAAAGUGGCACGCGAGCUGGGUUCAGAACGUCGUGAGACAGUUCGGUCCCUAUCUGUUGUGGGCGCAGGAUAUUUGAGGAGCUCUGACUCUAGUACGAGAGGACCGGGUUGGACAUACCUCUGGUGAAUCAGUUGUGUCGCCAGAUGCACUGCUGAGUAGCUAUGUAUGGAUUGGAUAAGCGCUGAAAGCAUCUAAGCGCGAAGCCAGCUUCAAGAUGAGAUAUCCUUACAGGGUCGUUCGAGAUGAGAACGUUGAUAGGUUGCAGGUGUAUAGUCGGUGACGGCACAGCCGAGCAAUACUAAUUACCCGAAUGUUUACUUUAA
rnacentral:rRNA from 1 species